rnacentral:lncRNA from 1 species
AAUUUCAGAUUUUUGAUCCUUUGGGUUUGGGAAGAGAGAAUAAAUUAGAAAAAUAUUAUUUUAUUCUCCAUCUUUCUUUCACCUCUUUAUCUCCUCUAAAAAUCUAUCUUUAACUUCUAAAAAAAUUUUAAAAAUUUGAAGAAAGAAUCCAGAUCGAUCAAGAAGAAGGUCUUCAUGCGAGCUAGCACUCCCAAGAAGACCGAUCAAAUCGGAGCUUCGAGUGAAUUUUUCGUAGA